CUCUGUGAUCUACUGUCGAUCUAUCUAGUCUAUGAUCAAAAGGGUGUCAAGAAGUCAUCAAUAUUAAAGUUUUUGUUGUUUUCGUGUAUUUAGCUGUGAUUUUUGUCCAUAAACUGAAUAAGUGCACCUUUAAAAGUUAACACACCGUCUGGGUGAAGCCAUUGGUGUCAGCCGCUGAUCUUCACUUGGUAAGCUUGCCGUGCAUUGUUACCACCUUUAAAGAAAAUUUGGUAAUGUAGUCAUUCUAACACUAAAUACAGGCAACCGACCGAGCCGAAUUUACAGGAACAUUUAGACAUAAAUUACCGAUUCUAAUUUUUUUAUGUUGUGCGAUGUGAGUUUUGACAGCCCUAAAUUUAAUUUUGGUGCUUUGGAAUUACUAUUAUUAUCACGCUAACAUACCAAGCCGUAUCUGUAGGGUUGCCCCUUGCCCUCGCGCUGGCAACACCAGGAAUGAGUGACAUGACUUUUAUAAUGAAAAUUCUUUGAGCUUUUACAUUCCGUCUGUGAAAUUCGCUUUGUACAUGUCCGCUACUUGAGCAUGUUUAAAGUCGUUCUGUGAACGGAAAAAAUCUGGAUAAAGUUCUGUGCAA